AUUGAACGCUGGCGGCAUGCUUUACACAUGCAAGUCGAACGGUAACAGGCCGCAAGGUGCUGACGAGUGGCGAACGGGUGAGUAAUGCAUCGGAACGUGCCCAGUCGUGGGGGAUAACUACUCGAAAGAGUAGCUAAUACCGCAUACGAUCUAUGGAUGAAAGCGGGGGACCGUAAGGCCUCGCGCGAUUGGAGCGGCCGAUGUCAGAUUAGGUAGUUGGUGGGGUAAAGGCUCACCAAGCCAACGAUCUGUAGCUGGUCUGAGAGGACGACCAGCCACACGGGGACUGAGGCACGGCACAGACAAGGAGGGGAAGAGCAAGGGGGGAGGUUGGGACAAUGGGGGCAAGCUUUAUCCAGCAAUGGCACGGGCAGAAGGGAGGCGUUCGAGUUGGAAACUGAAUUGGAACGGAACGAAACGGCUCUGCUUGAUACCCGGGGCGAAUGAGGGUAACGUAAAAAUAGGCACCGGAUCGCUACGGG
rnacentral:rRNA from 1 species